CUGCCCCUGAGGGAGCCCUUCCCCGCCGGCGCCUGCCUUCGCGGCGCCCCUUCCUCGUGGCAGCGCCGCCACCCCCGGCCCGCGCUCUCCGCCCAGCGCAGUGGCCGCCGCCUCUUCCGCCGCCGGGCUCGGGGCCUCCGCGCCGUCAACAUGGAGGCCGUGAAAACCUUCAACAGCGAGGAUUGUGCCUCUACUCCUGCUUGUACAGACUGCUUUUCCAGCAGCAUGGACACAAGAAGCAUAUUGUAUUCCCUGAAUGACUACAAACCACCUAUUUCUAAAGCAAAAAUGACCCAAAUUACUAAGGCAGCCAUCAAAGCUAUUAAGUUCUAUAAACAUGUGGUACAAAGUGUUGAGAAAUUCAUUCAGAAAUGUAAACCAGAAUAUAAGGUACCUGGACUUUAUGUUAUCGACUCCAUUGUACGACAAUCUCGACAUCAGUUCGGUCAAGAAAAGGAUGUAUUUGCACCCAGAUUUAGUAAUAACAUCAUUAGCACUUUCCAGAAUUUAUAUCGCUGCCCUGGGGAUGACAAGAGUAAAAUAGUGAGAGUAUUAAACUUAUGGCAGAAGAAUAAUGUAUUUAAGAGUGAGAUUAUUCAACCUCUUUUGGAUAUGGCAGCAGGAAUUCCCCCUCCAGUCGUUACACCUGUUCUGGCCAGUACUACCGCUGCCAUGAGCAAUACGCCAGGAACUCCUGUGACACCUGUUACUCCAGCCAAUGUGGUACAGGGUUUACCCGAUCCAUGGGUAUCUCAGAUAACAAGUACAGAUACACUUGCAGCUGUAGCUCAGAUCUUACAAAGUCCUCAAGGCCAGCAGCUUCAGCAGUUAAUACAGACGUUGCAGAUACAGCAGCAGAAGCCUCAGCCUUCCAUCCUGCAGGCCCUGGAUGCUGGUCUUGUUGUGCAGCUGCAGGCUCUCACGGCACAGCUCACAGCUGCCGCAGCCGCUGCCAACACCCUCACUCCCUUAGAACAGGGAGUGUCCUUUAACAAGAAGUUGAUGGAUAGAUUUGACUUUGGGGAAGAUUCUGAGCAUAAUGAAGAAACCAAAAAGGAAAUCACAACUUCUCAACUUUCUCAUGUUUCAGACUCUGUGAACAAUUCCAUUUUUCAUCAGAUAGCAGAACAGCUACAGCAGCAGAACCUUGAACAUCUUAGACAACAACUCCUGGAACAACAGCCUCAAAAGGCAACCCCUCAGGAUAGCCAAGAAGGAACAUUUGGAUCAGAGCAUUCUGCAUCCCCAUCACAAGGGAGCAGUCAACAGCAUUUCCUUGAACCUGAAGCAAAUUUGGAUGAUUCCAUAGAUAUUCAGCAACAGGAUAUGGAUAUAGAUGAAGGACAAGAUGGAGUAGAAGAGGAGAUCUUUGAACAAGAAGCAAAGAAAGUGGCUGUUCGCUCAAGAUCAAGAACACAUUCACGAUCUCGUUCAAGAUCACCAAGAAAACGAAGGUCUAGGUCACGAUCUGGUUCUCGAAAGCGUAAACACAGAAAACGAUCACGCUCACGCUCAAGAGAAAGAAAGAGGAAGUCAUCACGUUCAUACUCAAGUGAAAGAAGAGCUAGAGAAAGAGAGAAAGAACGGCAGAAAAAGGGAUUACCUCCAGUUAGAUCUAAAACAUUAAGUGUGUGUAGUACUACUCUGUGGGUUGGUCAGGUAGACAAGAAGGCCACACAGCAAGAUUUAACCAACCUGUUUGAAGAGUUUGGACAAAUUGAAUCCAUUAAUAUGAUUCCUCCCAGGGGCUGUGCUUAUGUCUGCAUGGUUCAUCGACAAGAUGCCUUUCGUGCUCUUCAGAAACUUAGUUCUGGAUCAUAUAAAAUUGGGUCCAAGGUCAUUAAGAUUGCUUGGGCUUUAAACAAAGGUGUAAAAACAGAAUAUAAACAAUUCUGGGAUGUGGAUCUUGGAGUUACAUAUAUACCUUGGGAAAAAGUUAAAGUAGAUGACUUGGAAGGUUUUGCAGAAGGAGGCAUGAUUGAUCAGGAAACUGUAAAUACUGAGUGGGAAACUGUGAAAAGCUCAGAACCUGUUAAAGAGACGGUCCAGACAACUCAGAGCCCAACUCCAGUUGAAAAGGAGACAGUGGUCACAACCCAGGCAGAGGUUUUCCCUCCACCUGUUGCUAUGUUACAGAUUCCAGUAGCACCAGCCGUGCCUACAGUUAGUUUAGUACCACCAGCAUUUCCUGUGUCAAUGCCGGUUCCUCCUCCUGGAUUCAGUCCAAUCCCUCCACCUCCUUUUCUGCGAGCAAGUUUUAACCCUUCACAGCCACCUCCUGGUUUCAUGCCACCUCCAGUUCCACCUCCUGUUGUACCACCACCUACUAUGCCACCAGUAGUACCAACAUCUUUAGUGCAGCCACCAUUAUCCAUGACUCCAGAAACCGUGAAGGACGUUGGAUUUGGUAGUCUCGUUUUACCGGGUGGUUCUGUUGCCAGCACUCUUGCUGCUUCCACCCUGCCAGCUGGAAAUGUUUUUAAUCCUCCAGCUAAACAAGCAGAGCCUGAAGAAAAAGUACCUCAUCUUAUAGAACACCAGAUUUCUGGUGAAAACACCAGAUCAGUGAUUCCAAAUGACAUUUCAAGUACUGCAAUUUUAGGAGGACAGCUGCCAAACGUGACAAGCAAUUCUGGAAUCCUGGGAGUCCAAAGACCAAAUGUAUCAAGUAAUUCUGAAAUUCUUGGAGUCCGGCCUUCUAAUGUUUCCAGUAGUUCUGGAAUUAUUGGAGCCCAGCCACCAAAUAUUCUAAAUAACUCUGGUAUUUUGGGAAUACAGCCACCAAGUGUUUCGAGUAGUCCUGGACUUCUGGGAGUGCUACCCCCAAAUAUCCCUAACAAUUCUGGACUUAUUGGAGUACAGCCACCAAGUAUUCCAAAUACUUCUGGACUUUUGGGAACACAGCCACCAGCUGGGCCUCAAAACUUACCCCCUUUAAAUCUCUCUAGUCAGAGGAUGCCUGCAAUCCCAAUGCUAGACAUUCGUCCAGGACUGAUACCACAGACACCUGGACCAAGAUUCCCUUUAAUACAGCCUGGAAUUCCACCCCAACGGGGAAUCCCUCCCCCAUCAGUACUUGAUGCAGCUCUUCAUCCACCACCUCGUGGUCCUUUUCCUCCAGGAGAUAUUUUUUGUCAACCAGAAAGACCUUUUCUAGUUCCUGGAAGACAAAGUGUAGACAAUGUUACUAAUCCAGAAAAAAGGAUACCACUUGGGAAUGAUAGCAUUCAACAGGAAGGAGAUAGAGAUUACCGGUUUCCUCCCAUAGAAACCAGGGAAAGCAUUGGUAGACCUCCCCCAGUGGAUGUCAGGGAUGUGGUUGGACGACCUGUAGAUCCAAGAGAAGGUCCUGGAAGGCCUCCGUUAGAUGGUAGGGAUCAUUUUGGAAGACCACCUAUAGAUAUUAGAGAGAAUCUUGUGAGGCCAGGUAUAGAUCAUCUUGGUCGGAGAGACCACUUUGGCUUUAAUCCAGAGAAGCCCUGGGGACAUAGAGAUUUUGAUGAGAGAGAGCAUCGGGUUCUACCUGUUUAUGGUGGUCCCAAAGGCUUACAUGAAGAAAGAGGUAGAUUCCGGUCUGGAAACUAUCGAUUUGAUCCUAGAAGUGGUCCUUGGAACAGAGGAUUUGGACAAGAAGUUCACAGAGAUUUUGAUGACCGCAGAAGACCCUGGGAGAGGCAAAGGGACAGGGAUGACAGAGAUUUUGAUUUCUGCAGAGAAAUGAAUGGAAAUCGUCUUGGACGAGAUAGAAUUCAAAACACCUGGGUUGGCCCCCCUCAUGCUCGGGUUUUUGAUUUUUUUGAAGGGACCACUUCUCAGCGAAAAGGUGAUAAUGUGCCUCAGGUUAAUGGUGAAAAUACCGAGAGACAUGCUCAGCCACCACCCUUACCAGUACAGAAUGAUCCUGAACUUUAUGAAAAACUGACAUCUUCAAGUGAAACAAACAAGGAGAAGAGUGACACAGUUGCUGAUGUAGAAAGUGAACCAGUGGUAAAAAGCACAGAAACUGAGGGGACAUAAUCAUCACUCAGUAGGACAGAAUGACUCAGAAGAUAAAGGAACUUCUAAGGUUAGCAGAAUAUGAAGUCUUUCCUCUUCAUCGAUUCGGAUUAUAUUAAAGAAGGAAGACAUCAACAGACCCUGCUUGUUUUGUGUGAAGAGGCCUUGAGUGAGUGUUGGAAGGGGAGGCUCCCUCCUCUGUUCCAGAUGUGAGCUGGCAUUGUGUGCCCAGCCUCCUGCUUAGCUUCAAAAGAUCCCUCUGGGCUUCCCGUGUUUCCAUCAGAGAAACCUCAUCUGGCUUGAUUACUAAGUUAAAGUGACGCUGAAGAUUGUUUUUACUUCAUCGUUUGCAUAAAAUAACACCCAACCUUUUUGCACUGUGGGUUUAAGGGCAGGCUGACCCACCACGUGACUGCGAGGGGCGGGAGCUCCUCCCAUCCAACGGGGCAGCCAGAAGUACUUUUUCCUAUAGGCUGGGCAGAAAUGUGAACUGACAAUUAACGUCCAAUGACAAACUGUCGUGUCUGUGAAGAAGAAAAACCACGGCUGCAGCAAGACGCAGCCCUCAGCCCCCGGGCGUGGAGGCUCCGUGCAGGCCGCGCGAGAGAGCCUGCUUUUGGCGCUCCUUGGAGCGCGUUAUUACACGUUUCCUGUUUCUGAUUCAGGCCUUGCAGAGAAUUUCCUAUCAAACGGAAAUCUUGACUGCUCUUUGCUGGUGCAUUCUCACUAUGGGGUAAUGGCUGAUUUCAUGUAAUGGAGGAAGCUUUUCCAGAAGAGACUAAAACCAGACCGCUGGACAAAGUCGGCGAGCAUGUGUUGGGGGGAUGCUUUGGUACAGAGGGCACAGUUGCAUCUUAUUUUUAUCAAUGCCUCACACUUCCCUAGAGAAACGCAACAACCUCCAUCUGCUGUGCAGCAUGAUUUUUAAAAGAUGGCCCAGGCCAGUUUAUUUUUAUAUUGAAAACUCGCAUCCCUCAAACCUUUGAGAAUUCUCAGAAUUCCAUUUAUAGAAUACAUUACAUGAUUAUUACAUGUAACACCAAUGAUACUUUUGGAAAUUUUGAUAUUGAAACACUGAUAAUGUUAACAUUUAAAAAAUCGUGUGCCUGUCACAGGCAGGGCACUGGUCUACACACCACGAGUAACUUCCCGUGACAGCCCAGUGAGGGAGGACGGCGCCCACUCAACAUGUGAGGAGACUGAGGCCACAGGGAGAUGAAGAAAUUUCUCCAAAGUCAAGCAGCUAGAAAGUAAAGGAAGCAGAAUUCCUGUCAGCUCCAUUCGACUCCAAGGCUCAAGGUCUUAAUGAGCUUCUGCCAUUUUACUUCACUGUAAAAGGUACAAAUAUCUACUUUGGUUAAUGGUUGACUAGGCAAGUGAGGACAGCUUUUGCACACAGAGCCCAUGUUUUUAUUUUAACUGGCACUUUUCUGGUCGCAUAUCCAAUGUUCCCCAUUUCCUUAGCAAGGACGUGAGCGGAGAUGCUAAACACAGGCUGUUUACUUGUCCUCUUAUUUGAAAUGUUCUCUACUCCUAGUGUCUGAUAUCCUUGUCACCUUCUUUCCAUAACUGCUGAGUCAAGAGCUACAUUUGUCCCUUUCAUUAAAAUAACGUAUAUAUAUUUUUGGAGAAAUUGGAAAACAAAGCUGCACAAAGACAGUAUUAGGAAUGUAUUAUGAGUGAGAUUGUAUUGCAGAAUUAAACUUCACGAAAUACAGUCUAGUUUCCUGUUUUCCCUUUGAUUGAGGUUCUGGAUUAGGCUUUGAUAUUUUACAAAGUAUUCUCAUGCCUUUUCUAAUGGCGACUGAAACACGUUCAGAUAGAGGCAUGCCAGUCGGGCAUCAAGCUAAGGCUGUAGCUGUUUGGAGGCUUCGUGGCAAAGCCUGAUGGGGAGCGGAUGACUCUGAACCCCUGGGCUGGGCUUGUUUGCUCCCCUCUUGGCUGAUAGGAUGCUGAGUAUUAGGUUUAGCUGCUCCCUCUUCUUUCCCUGGCCCCCAAAAUGGCCUGGAGUGGGAUCAGCCUUAUACUUAUCAUCCUCUGGAGUGGAAUUUCCUCUAAGGUGGGAACCAUGUUUUAUAUUUCAGGCACUUGUGCUGUCCUCGGCUCAGAGCACACACGUGUGAGUUGGUGAAAGAAUAAGCAUGCGCUAAUUGAGCAAAUGGGAGAUGCAAUGCCUCUGGUUCUCAGUAUCCUACUAUUUUUGUGAACAUGUUGCAGUAGAGGAAUGUUUCAGCUCACAGUUGGGAACCCAGACUUUCAAAAAAGCUUCAGUAAAGGAAUUGGAAACUUAGAAGUUUUCCAAGAAAAGGAUUUCUUCAUAAAUAACUCGAAAAUGUUGCUCGAACUGGAGUCCUUCUGGUGUUUUCCCCAUUACCAAAUUCUUGGUGCUUUAAGCUGGUGCUGAAUCUGUCACCCUUGCUUGAAAAGUUGGAGCCCCGAGCAAGAGCCAUGCUGGCGUGGGUGCCAAACUCAGGAGAGCCCGAUGCCUAAAUAUAAAUAUCGAGACACAAAUAUCAAAGUUAACUGAGGAA